rnacentral:rRNA from 1 species
UACGGAGGGUGCAAGCGUUAUCCGGAUUCACUGGGUUUAAGGGGUGCGUAGGCGGGCAGGUAAGUCCGUGGUGAAAUCUCUGAGCUUAACUCAGAAACUGCCAUGGAUACUAUUUGUCUUGAAUAUUGUGGAGGUAAGCGGAAUAUGUCAUGUAGCGGUGAAAUGCUUAGAUAUGACAUAGAACACCAAUUGCGAAGGCAGCUCACUAAGCAAAUAUUGACGCUGAGGCACGAAAGCGUGGGGAUCAAACAGG